rnacentral:tRNA from 1 species
UGAUAGCUAGUUUACAUAAAACAAAUGAUUUCGACUCAUUAAACUAUGAUGCACUCAUAGCUAUCAA